rnacentral:lncRNA from 1 species
GCAAAUCUUAGCUCUCUUCCUUUGGAAGCCAAGUCAAAGAAAAAAAAUCUAUGCUACAUUUGCUAUAUUUGUUUUCUUUUUCUUCCACUGUCUCUGCUGACAUCCUACACAGGGAAACUCAACAGCACAGGGUACCCCUUCCCAUCCCGUGGUCUGUGCGUCUCUCCCUCCUAGUUAGGGGGUCCAUGGGGGUCUUCAGAACCUCCUGCAUUGAACCCCUGCCCGACCUCAACACUGCACCAUGGUGUGUCCGGAUUGCUCUCCACUCAUCCAAACUGUAUGCUUUCAAGUUUUCAGUUUGAGAGGAGGAAGUGUGGACACUGUUUCCUCUGAUACCUCUGGGAUAAAGAUAGCGUAAAGAAAUCAACAGGUAUCACACUGUUGGAUAUGUGUGCAUAAAUCUA